CCAGCCGGUUGGACGACCGCUGCCACGAGACGCGAAAGCGUGUGGGGGAGGAAAGUCCGGGCUCCACGGAAACACGGUGCCGGGUAACGCCCGGCGGGGGCGACCCCAGGGAAAGUGCCACAGAGAUCGAACCGCCCGGGCAUGCCCGGGUAAGGGUGAAAAGGUGGGGUAAGAGCCCACCGCGCUGCCGGCAACGGGAGCGGCAUGGCAAACCCCACCGGGAGCAAGACCGAAUAGGGGCGGCGCGGGCCUUCGGGCCCGGUUCGUUUCCGAGCCAGCCGCCCGGGUGGGUUGCGCGAGGCGUCCGGUAACGGGCGUCCCAGAUGAAUGGUCGUCGGGCGGGUCUUCCCGCCAACAGAACCCGGCUUACAGACCGGCUGGCACC
rnacentral:RNase_P_RNA from 1 species